CCUACGGGAGGCAGCAGUAGGGAAUCUUCCACAAUGGACGAAAGUCUGAUGGAGCAACGCCGCGUGAGUGAAGAAGGGUCUCGGCACGUAAAGCUCUGUUGGUAGUGAAGAAAGAUAGAGGUAGUAACUGCCCUUUAUUUGACGGUAAUUACUUAGAUAGUCACGGCUAACUACAUGCCACGAGCCGCGGUAAUACGUAGGUGGCACGCGUUGUCCGGAUUUAUUUGGGUUAAAGCGAGUGCAGGCGGUUCAAUAAGUCUGAUGUGAAAGCCUUCGGCUCAACCGGAGAAUUGCAUCAGAAACUGGUGAACUUGAGUGCAGAAGAGGAGAGUGGAACUCCAUGUGUAGCGGUGGAAUGCGUAGAUAUAUGGAAGAACACCAGUGGCGAAGGCAGCUCUCUGGUCUGCAACUGACGCUGAGGCUCGAAAGCAUGGGUAGCGAACAGGAUUAGAUACCCUAGUAGUC
rnacentral:rRNA from 1 species